rnacentral:rRNA from 1 species
CCUGAAGGAACGUUGAAGACGACGACGUUGAUAGGCCGGGUGUGUAAGCGCAGCGAUGCGUUGUGCUAACCGGUACUAAUGAACCGUGAGGCUUAACCUUACAACGCCGAAGCUGUU